AGAGUUUGAUCCUGGCUCAGGACGAACGCUUGCGGCGUGCCUAAGAAAUGCAAGUCGAGCGGGGCAAUGUUCCAUUGAGGGUUUAGGGUCUAGGGUCUAGGGUAUAGGGUAAGAGUCAAACGGUUUUUACCCUAAACCCUAAACCCUAUCCCCUAUACCCUGAAUGGAGCAUUGCCUAGCGGCGAACGGUCGCGUAACACGUAAGCAACCUGCCCCGAAGACCGGGACAACAUUCCGAAAGGGGUGCUAAUACCGGAUGUGGCCACUGAUAUGCAUGUAUUGGUGAUUAAAGCCUGCACAAGGGCUUCGGGAGGGGCUUGCGGCCUAUCAGCUAGUUGGUGGGGUAACGGCCUACCAAGGCGACGACGGGUAGCUGGUCUGAGAGGAUGUCCAGCCGGACUGGGACUGAGAUACGGCCCAGACUCCUACGGGGGGCAGCAAUUAGGAAUCUUGCGCAAUGGGCGAAAGCCUGACGCAGCGACGCCGCGUGGGGGAGGAAGGCCUUCGGGUUGUAAACCCCUUUUAUCAGGGAAGAAUACAAUUGACGGUACCUGAUGAAUAAGCCACGGCUAACUCCGUGCCAGCAGCCGCGGUAAUACGGAGGUGGCGAGCGUUGUCCGAAGUUACUGGGCGUAAAGCGCGCGUAGGCGGGCUGUUAAGUGAGGGGUGAAAGGCUGAGGCUCAACCUCAUGUUUGUCCUCUCAUACUGGCAGUCUUGAGUGAGGUAGGGAGAAGUGGAAUGGCUGGUGUAGCGGUGAAAUGCGUAGAUAUCAGUCGGAACACCGGUGGCGAAGGCGGCUUCUUGGACCUUAACUGACGCUGAGGCGCGAAAGCUGGGGGAGCGAACGGGAUUAGAUACCCCGGUAGUCCCAGCCGUAAACGAUGGAUACUAGGUGUCGGGGGUAUCGACCCCUCCGGUGCCGCAGCUAACGCAUUAAGUAUCCCGCCUGGGGAGUACGGCCGCAAGGUUGAAACUCAAAGGAAUUGACGGGGGCCCGCACAAGCGGUGGAGCAUGUUGUUUAAUACGUCACUAACCGUAGAACCUUACCAGGGCUUGACAUCUCUGGACCGCCGGUGAAAGCCGGUUUUCCCCGCAAGGGGACUAGAAGACAGGUGUUGCAUGGCUGUCGUCAGCUCGUGUCGUGAGAUGUUGGGUUAAGUCCCGCAACGAGCGCAACCC
rnacentral:rRNA from 1 species